UUUAGGGAAGAGAUUUGAAAGAGAUUACAAGGAAAAUCUCCCAUAAGCACAAAAGGGCCAUUCAAAGUAAAAUAGAGAGAAGAAGAGCAUCCAAGUGAAUCCCAAAGCUUCCUCUCCAUCCGUGUGCUGCCUCGGAGAUCCUCUACUUCGUGCAAAAUCAGAAGAGGGGCAAGUGAAGAAGAAGCCGAGUUCCUCCAUCUACAAAUUAGUUUGAGGGCUUCUUCUCUUUUCUUUACUUAUUUACAUUUGCUAUAUUUGCUUAUUUGAGAAGUUUGUAUUUGAUUUAAACUCUUGUUCUAAUAUCUUGUAACUUGAUUCAAUCAAGGGAUUGAAUCAAGGGAUUAAGGUUUGUUGGUGAGCCAAAGGGAAAAACCAACGUUGUAAGGUUGUGGUUGGUGAGCCUUUGGGGAAAACCAACCGGGUUGAUUGUGAACCCGGAAAACAAUCAUUGUAAGGUUGUGGUUGGUGAGCCUUUGGGAAAACCAACUGGGUUGGAUUGUGAGUCCGUGAAAACAAUCGGUUGGUUCUAGUCGGUGAGCCUGUGAAAACCGACCGAGUUCGUUGUGAUCUCACAAAACAACAAGUUGGGUUGUGAGCUUGUAA
rnacentral:lncRNA from 1 species